rnacentral:rRNA from 1 species
UAGAGUUUGAUUAUGGCUCAGGAUGAACGCUAGCGGCAGGCUUAAUACAUGCAAGUCGAGGGGCAGCAGGGGUAGCAAUACUCGCUGGCGACCGGCAAACGGGUGAGGAACAUGUACGCAACCUUCCUUUAACUGGAGGAUAGCCCCUCGAAAGAGGGAUUAAUACUCCGUAACAUAAUGAAGUGGCAUCACUUUAUUAUUAUAGCUCCGGCGGUUAAAGAUGGGCGUGCAACUGAUUAGAUAGUUGGCGGGGUAACGGCCCACCAAGUCUGCGAUCAGUAACUGGUGUGAGAGCACGACCAGUCACACGGGCACUGAGACACGGGCCCGACUCCUACGGGAGGCAGCAGUAAGGAAUAUUGGUCAAUGGACGCAAGUCUGAACCAGCCAUGCCGCGUGGAGGAUUAAGGCCCUCUGGGUUGUAAACUCCUUUUAUCUGGGAAGAAAUGUGUUUUUUCUAAGACACUUGACGGUACCAGAGGAAUAAGCACCGGCUAACUCCGUGCCAGCAGCCGCGGUAAUACGGAGGGUGCAAGCGUUAUCCGGAUUCACUGGGUUUAAAGGGUGCGUAGGCGGGCAGAUAAGUCAGUGGUGAAAUCUUCGAGCUUAACUCGGAAACUGCCGUUGAUACUAUUUGUCUUGAAUAUUGUGGAGGUAAGCGGAAUAUGUCAUGUAGCGGUGAAAUGCUUAGAUAUGACAUAGAACACCAAUUGCGAAGGCAGCUUACUACACAAUGAUUGACGCUGAGGCACGAAAGCGUGGGGAUCAAACAGGAUUAGAUACCCUGGUAGUCCACGCCCUAAACGAUGAUUACUCGACAUACGCGAUAUACUGUGUGUGUCUGAGCGAAAGCAUUAAGUAAUCCACCUGGGAAGUACGAUCGCAAGAUUGAAACUCAAAGGAAUUGACGG